rnacentral:ribozyme from 1 species
GAAAGAGAGAGAGAGAGAAAUCGAAUAAAAGAGAGAGGGGAAGAAUAGCUUUAUAUACACGCACACAUGAAUAUACAUAUCGUCUCUCCUUUCUCCUAUCUCUCUUCUCCACUCUCUUUC